UAGGAUAGAGGCCUACCAUGGUGGCAACGGGUAACGGGGUGUUAGGGCACGACACCGGAGAGGGAGCCUGAGAAACGGCUACCACAUCCAAGGAUGGCAGCAGGCGCGCAAAUUACCCAAUCCCGACACGGGGAGGUAGUGACAAUAAAUAACAAUACGGGGUUCUUUCGGAUCUCGUAAUUGGAAUGAGUACAAUUUAAAUCUCUUAACGAGGAACAAUUGGAGGGCAAGUCUGGUGCCAGCAGCCGCGGUAAUUCCAGCUCCAAUAGCGUAUAUUAAAGUUGUUGCAGUUAAAAAGCUCGUAGUUGAAUUUCGGGGUUAGUAGGUUGGUCAUGCCUCUGGUAUGUACUGGUCUCACUGAUUCCUCCUUCCUUAUGAACCGUAAUGCCAUUAAUUUGGUGUUGCGGGGAAUUUGGACUGUUACUUUGAAAAAAUUAGAGUGUUUAAAGCAAGCUAACGCUUGAAUACAUUAGCAUGGAAUAAUGAAAUAGGACGUUCGAUCUUAUUUUGUUGGUUUCUAGGAUUGACGUAAUGAUUAAUAGGGAUAGUUGGGGGCAUUAGUAUUCAAUUGUCAGAGGUGAAAUUCUUGGAUUUAUUGAAGACUAACUACUGCGAAAGCAUUUGCCAAGGAUGUUUUCAUUAAUCAAGAACGAAAGUUAGGGGAUCGAAGACGAUCAGAUACCGUCGUAGUCUUAACCAUAAACUAUGCCGACUAGGGAUCGGAU
rnacentral:rRNA from 1 species